rnacentral:rRNA from 1 species
AUCCUGGCUCAGGACGAACGCUGGCGGCGUGCCUAAUACAUGCAAGUAGGACGCACAGUUUAUACCGUAGCUUGCUACACCAUAGACUGUGAGUUGCGAACGGGUGAGUAACGCGUAGGUAACCUACCUAUUAGAGAGGGAUAACUAUUGGAAACGAUAGCUAAUACCGCAUAACAGUAUGUAACACAUGUUAGAUGCUUGAAAGAUGCAAUUGCAUCGCUAGUAGAUGGACCUGCGUUGUAUUAGCUAGUAGGUAGGGUAAUGGCCUACCUAGGCAACGAUACAUAGCCGACCUGAGAGGGUGAUCGGCCACACUGGGACUGAGACACGGCCCAGACUCCUACGGGAGGCAGCAGUAGGGAAUCUUCGGCAAUGGGGGGAACCCUGACCGAGCAACGCCGCGUGAGUGAAGAAGGUUUUCGGAUCGUAAAGCUCUGUUGUUAAGGAAGAACGAGUGUGAGAAUGGAAAGUUCAUGCUGUGACGGUACUUAACCAGAAAGGGACGGCUAACUACGUGCCAGCAGCCGCGGUAAUACGUAGGUCCCGAGCGUUGUCCGGAUUUAUUGGGCGUAAAGCGAGCGCAGGCGGUUAGAAAAGUCUGAAGUGAAAGGCAGUGGCUCAACCAUUGUAGGCUUUGGAAACUGUUUAACUUGAGUGCAGAAGGGGAGAGUGGAAUUCCAUGUGUAGCGGUGAAAUGCGUAGAUAUAUGGAGGAACACCGGUGGCGAAAGCGGCUCUCUGGUCUGUAACUGACGCUGAGGCUCGAAAGCGUGGGGAGCGAACAGGAUUAGAUACCCUGGUAGUCCACGCCGUAAACGAUGAGUGCUAGGUGUUAGGCCCUUUCCGGGGCUUAGUGCCGCAGCUAACGCAUUAAGCACUCCGCCUGGGGAGUACGACCGCAAGGUUGAAACUCAAAGGAAUUGACGGGGGCCCGCACAAGCGGUGGAGCAUGU